rnacentral:lncRNA from 1 species
CCAGAAGUCUGUUGGGUAACAGGUUGGAAGUUCCAGGCCGUGGGCUUGAUACUGGUGGAGAACAGUGAGAACUCAGGGACUGAAUUCAUGUCAGUUGUGUGAUUGCUGACACCACCAGAUGCAGCCUUGUCCGUGUUUCUGUGUGGCUGACGUUCUCUGCUCUGUCCAGCCUUCCAGCGUAUCAGCAUUCCAGCAUUCCAGCGUCCCAGCAUCCCAGUGUUCCAGGGUUCCAGCAUCCCAGUGUUCCAGGGUUCCAGUGUUCCAGCGUCCCAGCGUCCCAGUUUUCCAGCGUUCCAGGGUUUCAGGGUUCCAGCGUUCCAGGGUUUCAGGGUUCCAGGGUUCCAGGGUUCCAGCGUUCCAGGGUUUCAGGGUUCCAGCGUCCCAGUGUCCCAGUGUUCCAGGGUUCCAGGGUUCCAGCAUUCCAGGGUUCCAGCGUUCCAGUGUCCCAGCGUCCCAGUGUUCCAGGGUUCCAGGGUUCCAGCGUUCCAGGGUUCCAGCGUUCCAGCGUCCCAGCGUCCCAGUGUUCCAGGGUUCCAGGGUUCCAGCGUUCCAGGGUUCCAGGGUUCCAGGGUUCCAGCGUUCCAGUGUUCCAGGGUUCCAGGGUUCCAGCGUUCCAGGGUUCCAGCGUUCCAGCGUCCCAGCGUCCCAGUGUUCCAGGGUUCCAGCGUUCCAGGGUUUCAGGGUUCCAGGGUUCCAGCGUUCCAGGGUUUCAGGGUUCCAGCGUCCCAGCGUCCCAGGGUUCCAGGGUUCCCGCAUUCCAGCGUUACAGCGUUCUAUCAUUGCAGCGUUACAGUGUUACAAAGUUCCUGCGUUCCACGAUUCCUGCAUUACAGUGUUCCAGCGUUCUAUUAUUACAGCGUUACGGUGUUCUAUCAUUACAGCGUUACAGCAUUCCAGCGUUCCAGUAGCCUGCUUCUGUUCCCUCAGUGAACAUGAUGACUCCUCUCAGUCCUUGAACCCUCGUGUGUUUGAAACCUAUAGACGAGGUCGUGUGAGGGUCCAGCAGUCAACGCGUGGAUCCACACGUCCUCUGUUCUCACCAGGUUUUUCACCUCCUCAUCCUCCUCAUGAACACAAUUCACACAACAAGAAGCUUUUAAACCAGUUCUCAAACAUCCAAGAUGAAAAGACAAAAAUGCAGCUUCACUC